GUAAACAGGGAGCUCCCGGCAGUUCUUCCGAAUUGGAAAGCGUCCUCCGGUUCAGCAGGAAGCCGCCGCCUCAUUGAAAUGAGUGGACAGGGCGAAGCCUCCCCCCUCCGCACAGUUCACAGGCCUGCCUUCCCCAUGGAGCCUCUCAGCCCGCGGUUUCCUUCACCCGCACCCGCCACUGAGGGAGCGGCCUUGCUGACCGACAAUACACAGAGACCGUUUGACCACAGAGGCGGAGAUUGGAGUUACACUGCUGCAAGCAAAGGGAUGUCAAGAACUGCCAUACACCACCAAGAGCUCAGAGAAAAGCCUGGAACAGAUUCUCCCCUGGAUCUUCAGGAGUGCA